rnacentral:lncRNA from 1 species
UUUGCUUUAAAAAUUAUCUAAAAUUUUUAAAAAAAUUGCUGGAAUUGUUAAAAAAUUAUAUAAAAUUUUUAAUUAUUUGGCUAAAUUCAAAAGUUAAGAUGGCAUGAAUAAAACUUGGUAAUCUUAGAUAGAUAAGCUUAUCAUUUGUUUAAAAUUACUCUUUUCAACUUUUGCAUUUGGAACUAUAACUAAGUUGGGCGUAGUUCCGACUGCUACAGUUGAGCCUUCUUGUACAAUUUUAAUUACAGUAAAUAAAUUCAAAUACAGCAAAUCAAACACUAUAUUCGAAUCUAUAUGUAGUUACAAUUACAGUGCAAUUAUAAAUUACAUGUAAUUAAAAAGUCACAAAAGAAGAGCGUAAGAGAUGGACUGUAUUUUAUUUCUUCAAACGCAAUGAUUAAAGUCCCACCUCGUGCUGUACAAUACGGAGCGACACGUAUCGUGCCCCCAAGAAGGGAGCAAGAUAUAGGGGGAGUUUCGGACCACCCUUCGUACCGCACACUAUGUUUUAUUUUUUGCUUUUCUUUUUCUCUUUGCUUUCUUUUCCUUUUUCUUUUGUUAUUUGGGGUACCAAAAAAUAUUCGUGUACUCUACAUUUUCGAAAAAUAUUACAAAUCGAAAAUCUACUUGUUAGAUAAGUCAAAAAAAAAGUAUAAUUUAUUUUUUUUGUUUACAAAUAUACUGCCAAAUUUUUAAUUUACAUAUCCGAUCCUAUCAGCCCGAACCAUUUGCUUCCACCACAGACAUCCAUUUUUUCUUAACAAACUAUUUUAUCUAAAUUUCUCGCACCGCAAAACUUUUAGCGAAUUAGAAAAACAAAGUCGAACUCAAUAAACAAAAUUUAAGACACAUCAAAUAUAAAAUUUUAUUUUUACGCUAGAAAAUUAAAAAUACUGAUAAAAUUAAAAGUUAAAUUAAAUUAAUUGAUAUACUUAAAUUUAUUUAAUUUAUUUGUUAUAUAAUUUAUUGCUUAAGUUUUUUUGAUAGAUCUAAUAAUUUAAAAAAAUUAAUUAAAAAAUAAUUUUUUCAAACACUUUUUAAAAUAAUUUUUCAAAUAAUUUUUAAAUAAUUUUAAAAUUUAUUUUUUGUAUUUUAUAAAAGAAAUACUAUAAUAUAAUCAAAAGAAAUAAAGAAAGAAAUUAUUUUUUGCAUUUUAAAAAUUUUAACAUGCAAAAAUUUUUAUUCUGCAUCAGGUAUAGUUGUAUUUUACAAAAAUUAAUUAAAAAAUAAUUUUUUCAAACACUUUUUAAAAUAAUUUUUCAAAUAAUUUUUAAAUAAUUUUAAAAUUUAUUUUUUGUAUUUUAUAAAAGAAAUACUAUAAUAUAAUCAAAAGAAAUAAAGAAAGAAAGAUAUUUUUGCAUUUUAAAAAUUUUAACAUGCAAAAAUUUUUAUUCUGCAUCAGGUAUAGUUGUAUUUUACAUACAAAAAAAGUUACAGAUAUAUUAUUUUUUCAAAAUAAUAUUAUAAAAAUUUAUUGGAACCAAAAAAAUUAAAAUAAGUCAAUACCAAAGUAUGCCAGUAGAAUGUCAUGCGUAUCUAUCGACACACAAGUGUACCAUGUGUCAGUACGGAAGUAUGCCUGUGUCGUACCAUAUCAGGAAGACAACGGCACGCCUCAAUGCCAUGGUACUUUAAACCUUACUUAAAGGGUAUAGUUUCAACUAUUACAAUUGAGCCUCAUUGUGUAGCGCCAAUUGUAGUAGUUGGAUUCAAAUAUAUCGAAUCCAUUUUAUAUUUGAAUCUAUACUUAGUUUCAAUUAUAGUGCAGUUACAAAUAUAUGCAACUAAAUAGUCACUAAAAAAUGAGCAUAACAGGCGCAGUUCUAACUAUUACAGUUGAACCUUUUUAUAUCGUACCAACUAGAAUAAUUAAAAUCAAAUAUAUAAAAUCAAAUACUAAACUAGAAUCUUCGUGCAAUUAUAAUUACAGUAUAGUUAUAAACACAAUCAACUAAAGUGUCCAUAUAUAAAAGGAGGCCGGACGGGUAAGAAAUGGAUCAUAUUUUGUUUUCUUAAUAUGCAUAUUUCCAACUAUUGCCGUUGAACCUUCUCAAACAAUUUCGACUGUAGCAGUUGAAUCAAAUCCAUCAAAUCAAAUACUAUAUUCAAAUCAGCAUGUAGUUAUUAUGAUCACGGUAUAGCUAAGAAUACAAGGUUUUUUUUUGCAUUUAGCCCUCUCAGAAUUUUUUUCCACAAAUAGUCUCAAAAAAUUUAUAUUUGCAAGAUUGGCUCUAUCCCUGUCACACGAGCGCCACGUGAGCUGGUGGCCCAGGCUAAGUUGAACACAAUGAAUCAUUCAUCGUGUUUGGACACGGUGAAUGGUUCACCGCGUUUAUUGUUUUAUAUAUUUCUGUAAGUUAUAUAAGUUUGAGUUGAACACGAUGAAUCAUUCACCAUGUCCAAAUACGAUUGGUUCACCGUAUUCAACUUAUCCCUAGGCCGCCAGUCAUGCUCACGUGACGCUUGCUUGGCGAGAAUAGAGUCAAUUUUACAAAUAUAAAUUUUAUGGAGCUAUUUAUGAAAAAAAAUUUCUGAGGAGGCUAAAUACACAAGAAAGUCUAAAAAUGCAUGCAAUUAGGGGCAUGUUUGUUUGGGUAGAAGUGGGGUGGAAGUGGAGAGGAGGGAAGUUAUUUUCGCUGUAAACGAUCACUUCCGUUGUUUUGUUCGCCGUAAAAAAGUUACGGUCGAAACUCCAGUUAAUUUGAAACGGCAUAAUUGACUUCGGCCUAUCGUGGGCCAAAAUCAAUUACGGUGAAAAGAGGUGAAGAAAAAAUAAUAAAAUAAUAUAUUAGGUAAAGAUAGUUAUAUUUAAAUAUAUUUAAUUAGGGUACUAAUUAUUCUUUUAUUCAUUUGACAUAUUUAAAAUAUGAUAAAAAUUGAUUAGUUAAGUUUUAAUAUUUUUUAAUUUAGUUUGUAUAAUUAAAAUAUGAUAAAAAUUGACUAAUUAAAUAUUACUUUUUUUAUUUUAUAACUUUAUUGUUGUAUUACUGUAAUUUAUAUAUAAAAAAAUAAUUUAGUUGCUUUAAAUUAAAUUUUAAUAAUAUAAAAAUAUAAUUAUAUUAUUUUUAUUUAUUAAAUUAUGUAUAUUUAUACAUAAGUUAUAGUUUUAUAUCAUAUACUUUCCACCAAACAAACAGCAAAACUAAUGAAACUUCACUUCCAUAACAACAAAACAAACAGCGGAGAAGAAGUAAUUUUCACCGAACUCCACUUCAACCUAAAGUUCACUUCAACCCAAAAUCUAGUUUCAGUAAAACAAACAUGCAAGUCUCUAAGUGGCCGUUUGGUUGCAUGUAGUUGCAACUACACUGCAGUUGUAACUGCAUGUAAAUACAAAUUUCGUACUUGGUUUGAUAUAUUUAACUCCAACUGCUGCAAUAGGAAUUGCAGGAGGAGGCCCAACUGCAGCAGUUCGAACUACGCCCAAAUUAGCCGCAGUUCCAACUACAGCAGUUAGAGAGAGUAACUUUAAAUAAAAGGUAUGCUUACCUCCUCAAUAUUUUUUAAACAAAAAUUAUUUUCCUUUUUUACAUUAGAGGUAAUCUCACCAUCAUAUAUAAAAUAAUAAAAUUUUAAAAAUUAUUUCUCAACUGCAUACAAUCAAACAAAUUAUUUAUACUUACAGCGCUUUCUACUACAGCCAACCAAACAUGAUUCAUGUAGUUGUACUUACUGUAUUUUCAACUGUAUGCAUCUCUAACUACAGUACAUUUAUAAUUACAUCUAACCAAACAGCCCUAAGAGGAGGACGCAAGUGAUAAAUCGUAUUUUGUUUUCUUACUAGGCAUUUUUAAUAGGGCCCAUGAGAAUGAUGAUUUAUGAUUUCGGGCAGGCCCGUUAAUCUAUUUUGUUUUCUUAACGGGCCUUGGGUCCAAGUUGGGGAUUGAAUGUACGGGUUUAGAAUUAGGCCGAAAAGAGUUGGGAGGAGAGUAGGGAUGUUGGGUACGGAUGCCCAAAAUUUUAUAAACCGGUAUCCGGACAAAAUAGAUUUAUUUAAUACUAAAUGAAUAUAGAUUCGAUAUGAAUAUCAAAAGAAAAAAAAAACGAAUUUGGAUUCGGAUAUAAAUUUUGAUUGUACCCGACUCAAACCCGAACCCAAAUUAAUUUUAUAUUAUAUAAUGUGUGUGUGUAUAUAUAUGUUUGAUGCUAUGUUUAAAUUUGUAUUUUAAUAUGCUUUGAAAUAUUAUAACGAGAAAUAUUUGUUUCUGGUUCGGAUUUCGGAUUUUUGGUAGUUCGGGUUCCAGGCUUGAUAGUCGGGUUUGAGUUCGAAUUUUUGAAAACUCACCCCAAAUCCGACAUGUUGACAUCUCUAACCGGAAGCAUAUAGAAAUAUAUUUUCAAAUUUUUGGUGGAGACAAAAUAAAAUAUAGUAGAUUACAAAAAAAAAAAAAGAAAAAUCAUGAUUACAACCCAAAAAAAUAAAACCUCAUAACACAGAAAUUACAGUUAUACAAACAUCCGAAAAAGUUUUUAUGGUUCUGUUUGGAUAUAUAAAUAUUUUGUUGAAUAUAUUUUUUUUGAUUUACAGAAAAAGGUUAUAUUAUUUGAUAGACGAGUAGUGUGACCGAACCUUAUUUUGAUGUGAUUGAAGAGUGAUAAUAUGUUUCGCCGUGAUCAUUUUAUGAUGUGAUUGAAAGUUACGAGUCUAAAUUAUUUGAAUUGAAAAGUUAAUUCAGCUAAUUAAAUUAGAAACUUAAAAAAAAAAUAAUUGUAGAAA